CGGGGUGCUGGAGGUGAUGCUGGGGUGCUGGAGGUGAUGCUGGGGUGCUGGAGGUGAUGCCGGGGUGCUGGAGGUGAUGCUGGGGUGCUGGAGGUGAUGCUGAGGUGAUGGAGGUGAUGCCGGGGUGCUGGAAGUGACACUGGGAGGGGGAUGAUGCUCAUCCUUGUGCUGCUCAUCCAACAGGGACGUCCUGGAAUGAAUGGGCUGAAGGGCGAGAAGGGGGACCCUGCGGAUGUCAGUGGCAUGAUGGCCUUGAGGGGUCCCCCUGGCCCCCAGGCCCCCCAGGGCCCCCGGGCCCCCUGGCAGCAUAGUGUAUGACAGCAGCAAUGCCUUCAGUGACUCCAGGCAUCCCGUGCUGCCAGCCUUCCCUGGUUUCCACCAGUUCCCAGGACAAAAGGGAGAGAAGGGUGAUACUGGACCCCCAGGACCCCCAGGCCACUUCCCCUACGACCCAAGUCACUUUGGUGCCAACCUGCGGGGUGACAAGGGGGACGCAGGUCCCAAGGGUGAGAAGGGCGAGCCGGGCAGCACCCCCAUCUACAGCCCCAGCCUCUCCGGGCCGCCAGGACCCCCAGGGCCCCAGGGCUACCCUGGGCUGCCAGGUCCCAAAGGGGACAGCAUCGUUGGCCUGCCAGGGCCUCCUGGACCACAGGGCCCCCCAGGAAUCGGCUAUGAGGGGCGGCAAGGCCCUCCUGGCCCUCCCGGCCCCCCUGGUCCACCCUCUUUCCCUGGACCCCAUAGACAAGGUGAGUACCUUCCCCAUUGCAUCCCCAGCAUCCCUCCCCAUGCUGCAGCUUUCCCCAUGUCCCCCUUCUUCCCCCACCAGCUAUCAGCAUCCCUGGACCCCCUGGACCACCGGGACCCCCUGGACCACCAGGCAGUAGUGGGAUG
rnacentral:lncRNA from 14 species